rnacentral:lncRNA from 1 species
GGCAAAUAGUUUAUUACAUUUUUAAAGAAAACUGGAUUGUCUCUGCAUAUCAGGCCCCAUUUAUUAAAGUUUAAAGAACUUUAGAUAAAAACUGUACCCUCUGACAUCCAUCUAGUGGUCAACAGAAUGGCCCUGGGAAAAGGCAUGGUGAACAAAGUAAGAAAUUUAACAUAAACUGUACCUGGAUAAAUGAAAUUUAACAGGUGGGACAGAAAAGGCUCUAAACUGUUAAACACAAACCAGAUUAUCUCAAAUACUUUGUUGCUUCAAGGAAGGAUCAUUCAAAAUGGAGUACAGGCAAACUGAAAAGGCAAUAUAGUAUUGCUAUAUCAUAUAUAUCAUAUACUUUUACAUCUCAUAAAAAUAUCAAAUUGGAAUGGAAACUGAUUAUCUUAUUAAUUGUCUACAUUAAAUCCUAUUUAACAAUGUCCCUUUCUCUUCUAAACUAUAUCCUCUUACUUCCCUUGUUUUAUUGUUAUUAACUAAUUAUGUUUUCAGUCCAAUCAAGAUUAAUUAGCUUAGUACACAAAUAUAUUCAUGAAUAAAUAAUAUAUCUUUAAGACUUAAACAUACUUUUAAAAAUACAUUUUAAAAAAUUAUCAGCUGGUAAUAUUCUAAGAACUUUUUCUACCUGGUCAGUCCUC